rnacentral:lncRNA from 1 species
UUAUAUUAUUGACAUACUACAACAAGCUUCUUUCCACAGAUAAAAUUAUUUAGAGAGGGCAGCCAUAGCUUUGGACAGCGACCAGCUGUCGUGAGCAAGAUAACUAUGAAUUCAGGUACAAUACAAAUCUGCAAGACACCUCUGCAUCUGAAUUAUCUUCAACUAUGAGGCCAUCAUAUAUGUAAAAUGUAAUUAUCUUCAAUAUUUUUGCAGCUGAAUGGUGGAUUCAUUUUGGCGGAUCCGCAAAAAAU